AACCUUACGCAAUAGCAAUAUCAUAACCAAUGAAGGAUCACCUGAUUAUAUGAUUAUUGCUAGCUGAAAACCUUUUAGGCGCCACGAUAGCCGAGAAGUUAAAGACGAUGCACGCCGAGCUGAUUGUGAUACUGGGUUCGAUUCCUUGUCUACUAGUUAUUGUAAAGAAAUUUAUAGUAAAGUAUAUUUGCU
rnacentral:snRNA from 1 species